rnacentral:rRNA from 1 species
GAUGAACGCUGGCGGCGUGCCUAAUACAUGCAAGUCGAGCGAACAGACGAGGAGCUUGCUCCUCUGACGUUAGCGGCGGACGGGUGAGUAACACGUGGAUAACCUACCUAUAAGACUGGGAUAACUUCGGGAAACCGGAGCUAAUACCGGAUAAUAUAUUGAACCGCAUGGUUCAAUAGUGAAAGACGGUUUUGCUGUCACUUAUAGAUGGAUCCGCGCCGCAUUAGCUAGUUGGUAAGGUAACGGCUUACCAAGGCGACGAUGCGUAGCCGACCUGAGAGGGGGAGCGGCCACACUGGAGCUGAAACCGGGCCCAGCCCCCACGGGGAGGCAGAGGUAGGAAAUCUUCCGCAAGGGGCGAAAGCCGGAGGGAGCAACGCCGCGGGAGUGAUGAAGUUUUUCGGAUCGAAAAACUUUUUUAUGGGGGAAAAAAAAAUGUGUAAGUACCUAUGCACGUCUUGACGGUACCUAAGCAGAAGGCCACGGCAAACUACGUC